rnacentral:rRNA from 1 species
ACUCCUACGGGAGGCAGCAGUGGGGAGUAUUGCACAAUGGAGGAAACUCUGAUGCAGCAACGCCGCGUGGAGGAUGACGCAUUUCGGUGUGUAAACUCCUUUUAUAUGGGAAGAUAAUGACGGUACCAUAUGAAUAAGCACCGGCUAACUCCGUGCCAGCAGCCGCGGUAAUACGGAGGGUGCAAGCGUUGCUCGGAAUCACUGGGCGUAAAGCGCGCGCAGGCGGUUUGAUAAGUUGGAUGUGAAACCCUAUGGCUCAACCAUAGAACUGCAUCCAAAACUGUCAAACUAGAGUCUGGGAGAGGAAGAUGGAAUUGGUUGUGUAGGGGUAAAAUCCGUAGAGAUAACUAGAAAUACCAAAAGCGAAGGCGAUCUUCUGGAACAGUACCGACGCUGAGGCGCGAAAGCGUGGGGAGCAAACAGGAUUAGGUACCCUGGUAGUCCACGCCCUAAACGAUGAAUGUUAGUCGUUGGAGUCCUAGUGACUUCAGUGAUGCAGCUAACGCAUUAAACAUUCCGCCUGGGGAGUACGGUCGCAAGAUUAAAACUCAAAGGAAUAGACGGGGACCCGCACAAGUGGUGGAGCAUGUGGUUUAAUUCGAAGAUACGCGAAGAACCUUACCUGGCCUUGACAUUGAUAGAACACCGUAGAGAUACAGUGGUGCCCUUCGGGGAGCUUGAAAACAGGUGCUGCACGGCUGUCGUCAGCUCGUGUCGUGAGAUGUUGGGUUAAGUCCCGCAACGAGCGCAACCCACGUGACUAGUUACUAACGGUUCGGCCGAGGACUCUAGUCAGACUGCCUCCGCAAGGAGGAGGAAGGUGAGGACGACGUCAAGUCAUCAUGGCCCUUACGGCCAGGGCAACACACGUGCUACAAUGGUUAGGACAAUGAGACGCAAUACCGCGAGGUGGAGCAAAUCCAUAAAACCUAAUCUCAGUUCGGA